AAAUGAAUUGACGGGGGCCCGCACAAGCGGAGGAACAUGUGGUUUAAUUCGAUGAUACGCGAGGAACCUUACCCGGGCUUGAAUUGCAGACUAAUGCGGCGGAGACGCCGCAGUCCUUCGGGAAGUCUGUGAAGGUGCUGCAUGGUUGUCGUCAGCUCGUGCCGUGAGGUGUCGGCUCAAGUGCCAUAACGAGCGCAACCCCUGUCUCCUGUUGCCAUCAGGUAAAGCUGGGCACACUGGAGAGACUGCCGCCGUAAGGUGCGAGGAAGGUGGGGAUGACGUCAAAUCAGCACGGCCCUUACGUCCGGGGCUACACACGUGUUACAAUGGCCGGUACAGAAGGAUGGUGCCCCGCAAGGUGCAUCGAACCUGAAAAACCGGUCCCAGUUCGGACUGGGGUCUGCAACCCGACCCCACGAAGCUGGAUUCGCUAGUAAUCGCGCAUCAGCCAUGACGCGGUGAAUACGUUCCCGGGCCUUGUACACACCGCCCGU
rnacentral:rRNA from 1 species